GUGCUCCCUUGGGCAGCAUAUAUACUAAAAUUGGAACAGCUCAAAGAUUAGCAUGGCCUCUGUGCAAGGAUGACGUGCGGAAUCGUGAAGCAGCCCACAUUUUU
rnacentral:snRNA from 1 species